GGUACUGUGGUCUAGUUGGUCAUGACAUCUUGCUAUGAGAAGGUCCCUGGUUCGAGCCCGGGCGGAACCC